GCUCAAUGGCUUUGGUUUUAGAUUAUCAUAACCAGUGAGCGAAUCCAUGUUUUUAGCUGCUAACAAUGCUGUCACUGAACAAUUUGCGAAUUAUGUGCACACCACAGGCUCUUCAGCAUUCACAUACAUUAUUGGUGAACAGACAAUGCGUAUCUAAGGCUUCCUCUUUUUAUGCAAAACUAUACAACAACUCGAUCACCUUCACUAGCAGUAAGGGCACUAGGCACAACAACGGCAUAGAUUUCAGAUCACAGAAUGAAAGUAAGGUGAAACAUGUCAAUUCACUGGAAAGGACUUUCUGCACAGCGUCUGUAACAAACUCCAGCCUUCUUCUUUUUAUAUUGUAAUUUUGUCCAGCCUCCAGAUGAGGGAGUAUCCUUCCAAAUUAUGGAUUGCUGGAGCUGAAGAUCAUGCACAUAGAAGAGGGGACGGAUAAUGGGGCCAAUCCUAUGUUUCUUAUGGAGUUGAUGGAGAUAACGAAGCUCUGGAUGAGGCAUAGAGCAAAGAAGAAACGGACAAGAUAGGUGCCUCUAUGAAAGAUAAAUUGAAAGACUUGACUGAACAAAUAGAUCCAUCGCUGCACAAAGGAGAGCUUCAAGCUGCCAAGCACUUCUCGCCAAAAUGAAAUACUUUGCGAGCAUUGAAGACAAGGUGAAGGAAAAACUUUUAGAGCUAAUGUAAACUUUGUUUACUUUGUUUUGAUACUUCUUGGGUCUUUUUAAAGCUGUUUUGAAAGUCUUCAAUAAUUCUAAUAAUACAAUUAGUAUUUAUUUAUUUAUUAUGUACAGUAUUUGUUAAAGUUUCAGGUCUACUAAUUAAUGUCAAAUAUUAAUAGGUUACACAUUGCCAUAAUUUUUGUGUGAUGGAUCAAUUCAAAAGUCAAUUAUUGAGUAUGUUAAAAAUAUUAUAUUAUAUGAAAAGCUUUUAACUCAACUAUCUCCUGCGCAGUAGAUGUGUCCGUAAAGAAUACCGUAACAACAUUGGAGGGUUAAGCUGGUUUAGUAAAAGACAUGCUCCGGUACUUGGUGACUAAGAAAGUAUUUUUAAACCUCCCACUUUGGGAGUUUUCUUAAAGCUGUGCCGUGCCUUUUUCCCUACAUUUCUCCCCACGUGGGCCAGCCCCUAGCAAUUAGAAUUUUAGCCAAUGAGCUUCAGCCCCUCGCAUUUUGAGUGACAGCUAGCAAGAGGCCUACACAGCGUUAUCCAAUGAGGUUGCAGGGUGGGCCCAACGGCUCAGUAGACACAACAGAGAGGGAGAGAGAAAGAGCAAUGAUGUGGGACCACUUUUGCAUUGUGAGUGCUACUUUCAGAACUACUGACUAAAAAGUAUACAAAAGUACCAGAGAAUCUCUUUAAAUUAAAUGCAUCAUUUACUAUGACAAACAGACAUGUUAUUGUCAGUGAUUUAAAUACUGCACAGUCACAAAGUUUGCAUAUGAUUAUUUUGCCUAUCAGUAUAGCAUUUGUUAUUACGGCCUGUUGUUGAGUCACACGGGGUGAUGCGAGUUGAGAAUAUACCCCUUGUAACCUGUAGCGGGAGACAUACUUCCUUGAAAAUACUGGAGGAAGAAUAGCAGCACAUAACUUUCUCUGCCUGAACCAAAAGGAUGCCCUUCACAUAAUUAGAAAGAUUGUGCAUUAUUUAUGUAUGCCACAUAUACAGUACCAGUCAAAAGUUUGGACACACCUACUCAUUCAAGGGGUUUUCUUUAUUUUUACUAUUUUCUACAUUGUAGAAUAUUAGUGAAGACAUCAAAAUUAUGAAAUAACACAUGGAAUCAAGUAGUAACCAAAAGGGUGUUAAACAAAUCAAAUAUCUUUUAUAUUUGAGAUUCCUCAAAGUAGCCACCCUUUGUCUUGAUGACAGCUUUGCACAAUCUUGGUAUUCUCUCAACCAGCUCCAUGAGGUAGUUAAUAAUAAUUUCAAUAACAGGUGUGCCUUGUUAAAAGUCCAUUUGUGGAAUUAAUGCUUUUGAGUCAAUCAGUUGUGUUGUGCAAUGGUAUGGGGUGGUAUACAGAAGAUAACCUUAUUUGGUAAAAUACCAAGUCCAUAUUAUGGCAAGAACAGCGCAAAUAAGCAAAGGGAAACGACAGUCCAUCAUUACUUUAAGACAUGAAGGUCAGUGUUACUGAUACAAGUAUCCUGUGUGUGUAUUUGUUUUAUUUCCUUCUGCCCUAGUCACAGGUGUCACUCAUCAGUCGCCAAUCAGUCGCCACUGAAGACACACCUGCUCCUUUUCCCUUACCCAAUCACUUGGUUUUAAAACCCAGUCAGUUAUUUUCCCAAACUCUCUAUCUCUCUUUGGAUUGAGCUAUCUCUUGUUUUUGCGCCUACAUGUCACAUUUGUCCGUUAUGUAUUGUUGUGGUGUAUCACUGUUAGCUAGCUUUGCUUGAAGCAGGUAAGACUACCUCAGGUUUUUUUGGAUAUUUAUUUCUUUCCUUGGGUCCAGCUCAGCCCCCCCCCCCCCCCAUUACCGUGUGUUUAAGCAAUAAAACCUUUAGUGUUUGACGGGAGAUUUAGGUUGUCUGUUGUUUUUAGUUCUCACUGUUCCUUUUCACUGUUCUGAUUUGCAUGAGAUAUGUUAUGGGUCUCGUUUCCAUCCCCCCUAGACUGCAGGGCCAAAGGGGCCCAUAACAGUCAGUCAAUCCGGAAAAUGUAAAAACAUUUUUUAAAUGUUUCUUCAAGUGUAGUGUCAAAAAUCUACAAGCGCUAUGAUGAAACUGAGGACCGCCACAGGAAAGGAAGCCCCAGAGUUACCUCUGCUGCAGAGGAUACAUUCAUUCAUUAGCAUUUACCAGCCUCAGAAACUGCAACCCAAAUAAAUGCUUCAGAGUUCAAAUAACAGACCCAUCACAAGCAUGGAGGACAAGGCACACUUAAUCAGCAUGGCUACCAAAAGAUUCUGCAGCGGUACGCCAUCCCAUCUGGUUUUGCACUUAGUGGGGCUAUCAUUUGUUUUUCAACAGAACAUUUGAAUCAACACACCUCCAGGCUGUGUAAGGGCUAUAUGACCAAGAAGGAGAGUGAUGGAAUGCUGCAUCAGAUGACAUGGCCUCCACAAUCACCCACCCGACCUCAACCCAAUUGAGAUGGUUUGGGAUGAGUUGGACCGCAGAGUGAAGGAAAAGCAGCCAACAAGUGCUCAACAUAUGUGUGAACUCCUUCAAGACUAUUGGAAAAGCAUUCCAGGUGACACUGGUUGGGAAAAAGCUGUCAUCAAGGCAAAGGGUGGCUACUUUGAAUAAUCUAAAAUAUAUUUAGAUUUGUUUAACACUUUUUUUUUUGGUCCCAUGUUAUUUUGUAGUUUUCACUAUUCUACAAUGUAGAAAAUAGUAAAAAUAAAAACCCUUGAAUGAGUAGGUGUCCAAACUUUUGACUGGUAAAUUAUAUUAUGUUAAUCAGACAUAAAUAAAGAUUAGCUGUUCAGGAGCCCUCAGAUCGCCGUGUAAUUGUUAGUUCAUGAACUGCAUGUUGAGCCAGUGAAGCCGUCGCUUAGGGACCACUCCCAGACAUUUGUUUUGAAUUUGUUGUUUUUUCAUCUGCAGUGGAUUGAAGUGUGGAAAAUCAAGCUUAAAUGUAUUCCCUUUUGUUUAUUUAUGCUUUUAUGGAACUCCACGUGAAUACAGAUCUUGUUAUGUGAUUUGUCAGACUAAAUGGAAAAUGGACGAGUUUAAGAAUGGCACUCAAGCAACUAUUAGAACGAGAACCAUAAAGAUAUAGCGACCAAUUAAUUUGUGAAUGUUAUGACAUUCAACACACAAUCUGAAACUGCUAUUAAGGAACACAGUUUACUUUCUCAAAUCAAAAUGGCAUGUCAAACGCAACAGGACUAUUCUCAUGAGCCCUGACUGUGAUUCUCUGAGAAUAUCCUUCCCUACAGUUACAGGACUUGACUAGUUGUUUAUUAAGCCUGGAACAACAAUGCCGUGUUCCAUUUGCCACUGUGGAGAAGCAGUUUCCCUAAUACUGUUGGAUUGACCGUGAAUUAAAUAGUAGGGCUUAACCCACUGAAGGGAGACUCAGCAGUGGCCUAUUUAUUAUUCAUGCUGUAAUCAGAAGGCAUCUACGGUGCCACUAUAUUAAUGAGAAAAUGUGAUCCACCAACUCUCAGGCCACUGCUGUCUCCAAGGACUCUUUGAAAUGUAAUUUGAAAGAAAAUGGAGGGGAGGGGUGAAGCAAAAUUGCCUUGGAUGGGAAUGCAUGGUGGAAUGAACUAGGUGCAUGUGGUUUUAGAUUUAAGAAAGGUAGGCUUAGCUAUUGGCAGUAAGUGGGAAAGGAAAUGGAGCAAAAAUAUCAAAUGUUUUCCUGCUGCUUCAUGGCAUCUGGACUUAGUGGAAAGGGAAAACAUUUGGGGACUGUUUGCUUGUCUAUCUAAUCGGUUCCUUGGUUCUAGUCGGUUCCUUGGUUCUGCUACUGGCAAGCUGAGGGUUAUAACUGAAAGUGAUAUAACAAAAAAAAUGAUGGUCCUUGUAAGUUUCUCACAGAAAUGACAGAAACCAAAGGUGAAACAGCCAAUUAUCAGCCUGGACCCAAAAAUACAGAUUCUGCCAGUGUGGCUCACUGUUUAAUAUUGGAAAUGGUGGCAGAACAAGGAAUGUAAAAUUAUCAUAUUCACUCAUAUAACUCUAGCUGACACUGCUGCUCCUUUUGGGGACCAAUAUUUGGUGAGUACAGAAGGUACAAGAGAACCCUAUGAUUGAGGUCUGGAACAAUGGAGAAUGAAUUUGGUCCUUUUACUUAUAACUGUGUGGUUGGUUCCUCACAGAACACCACCAGUCUUAUUAUCAGGUAAUAGUCUAUCUUCAUCAGUCUCUGAUUUAACAGCUGGGAUAUCUGUUACCUUAGCUACACAGCAUGUUUGCGUUUUACUUUUAUUUUGUGUGUGUUUUCAUAUUGGCAUGUUUGCUAGCUACAAACUAUUUAGCUAGCUUCUAGCCUAGGGUUUGAUAUACAAUGUGAUCUCGUAAUGAACAGUGUCCUGAUGAGAAGGAACAUCUUUCCAUGCCAGGCAAAUUUGUGCAUCAUCAGCUAAUUGUUAUAGAUGCAUCCAAAUGAAUGUCACAAGAAAACCGCUUAAAUAUGCAGAUACUUUGCUGUUAUUCCGGCUGCAAAUAAAAUCCAAAUUACAUUUAUUUAUAUAGCCCUUCAUACAUCAGCUGAUAUCUCAAAGUGCUGUACAGAAAUCCAGCCUAAAACCCCAAACAGAAAGCAAUGCAGGUGUUGAAGCACGUUGGCUAGGAUAAACUCCCUAGAAAGGCCAAAACCUAGGAAGAAACCUAGAGAGGAACCAGGCUAUGAGGGGCGGCCAGUCCUCUUCUGGUUGUGCCGGGUGGAGAUUAUAACAGAACAUGGCCAAGAUGUUCAAAUGUUCAGCAUGGUCAAAUAAUAGGUCUGGGACAGGUAGCACGUCCGGUGAACAGGUCAGGAUUCCAUAGCCGCAGGCAGAACAGUUGAAACUGGAGCAGCAGCACGGCCAGGUGGACUGGGGACAGCAAGGAGUCAUCAUGCCAGGUAGUCCUGAGGCAUGGUCCUAGGCCUCAGGUCCUCCGAGAGAAAGAGAGAAUUAAAGAGAGCAUACUUAAAUUCACACAGGACACCGGAUAAGACAGGAGAAGUACUCCAGAUAUAACAAACUGACCCUCGCCCCCGACACAAACUACUGCAGCAUAAAUACUGGAGGCUGAGACGGGAGGGGUCAGGAGACACUGUGGUCCCAUCCGAUGAUACUCCCGGACAGGGCCAAACGGGAAGGAUAUAACCCCACCCACUUUGCCAAAGCACAGCCCCCACACCACUAGAGGGAUAUCUUCAACCACCAACUUACCAUCCUGAGACAAGGCCGAGUAUAGCCCACAAAGAUCUCAGCCACGGCACAACUCAAGGUGGGGCGCCAACCCAGACAGGAAGAUCACAUCAGUGACUCAACUCACUCAAGUGACGCACCCCUCCUAGGGACGGCAUGAAAGAGCACCAGUAAGCCAGUGACUCAGCCCCUGUAAUAGGGUUAGAGGCAGAGAAUUCCAGUGGAAAGAGGGGAACCGGCCAGGCAGAGACAGCAAGGGCGGUUCGUUGCUCCAGAGCCUUUCCGUUCACCUUCACACUCCUGUGCCAGACUACACUCAAUCAUAUGACCCACUGAAGAGAUGAGUCUUCAGUAAAGACUUAAAGGUUGAGACCGUGUUUGCGUCUCUCACAUGGGUAGGCAGACCAUGCCAUAAAAAAUUGAGCUCUAUAGGAGAAAGCCCUGCCUCCAGCUGUUUGCUUAGAAAUUCUAGGGAAAAUUAGGAGGCCUGAGUCUUGUGACCGUAGCGUACGUGUAGGUAUGUACGGCAGGACCAAAUCAGAGAGAUAGGUAGGAGCAAGCCCAUGUAAUGCUUUGUAGGUUAGCAGUAAAACCUUGAAAUCACCCCUUGCCUUGACAGGAAGCAGGUGUAGGGAGGCUAGCACUGGAGUAAUAUGAUCACAUGUUUUGGUUCUAGUCAGGAUUCUAGCAGCCGUAUUUAGCACUAUCUGAAGUUUAUUUAGUGCUUUAUCCAGGUAGCCGGAAAGUAGAGCAUUGCAGUAGUCUAACCAAGAAGUAACAAGAGCAUGGAUCAAUUUUUCUGCAUUUUUGGACAAAGUUUCUGAUUUUUGCAAUGUUACGUAGAUGGAAAAAAGCUGUCCUUGAAACAGUCUUGAUAUGUUCGUCAAAAGAGAGAUCAGAGUCCAGAGUAACGCCGAGGUCCUUCACAGUUUUAUUUGAGACGACUGUACAACCAUUAAGAUUAAUUGUCAGAUUCAACAGAAGAUCUCUUUUGUUUCUUGGGACCUAGAGCAAGCAUCUCUGUUUUGUCCAAGUUUAAAAGUAAAAAAGUUUGCAGCCAUCCACUUUCUUAUGUCUGAAACACAGGCUUCUAGCGAGGGCAAUUUUGGGGCUUCACCAUGUUUCAUUGAAAUGUACAGCUGUGUGUCAUCCGCAUAGCAGUGAAAGUUAACAUUAUGUUUUCGAAGGACAUCCCCAAGAGGUAAAAUAUAUAGUGAAAACAAUAGUGGUCCUAAAACGGAACCUUGAGGAACACCGAAAUGUACAGUUGAUUUGUCAGAGGAUAAGCCAUUCUCAGAGACAAACUGAUAUCUUUCCGACAGAUAAGAUCUAAACCAGGCCAGAACUUGUCCGUGUAUACCAAUUUGGGUUUCCAAUCUCUCCAAAAGAAUGUCGUGAUCGAUGGUAUCAAAAGCAGCACUAAGGUCUAGGAGCACGAGGACAGAUGCAGAGCCUCGGUCUGAUGCCAUUAAAAGGUAAUUUACCACCUUCACAAGUGCAGUCUCAGUGCUAUGAUGGGGUCUAGAACCAGACUGAAGCAUUUCAUAUACAUUGUUUGUCUUCAGGAAGGCACAUCGAAAGGAAGGGACCCGGCUCAAUCUCAUCCCACUGCGUUGUCCAUUGUUUCUAAGGUGAUGUACAGAAAGUUGGCUUUAUCCCUUACAUUAUCUGCCACUGUUAAAGGUUCCAUGCUGCCUCCAACCUAUUAUCUUAUCACUUUCUGUUGUUAUUUUCUUGAAUAUGGCAUUACAUGGCCUCCCCCACUUAUUUUCUUCUCAUGAAUAUGGCAUUACUUCUUACUGAGUGCACAUAUGUCCUCUUUGUUAUUCCACCCAUCCUGACUCUAGCCAUGAGGCCCUGGACCCCAACACAGUGUUAGGCCAAAGAAAUGAACUCCUGCCAGCACUAGACUGCACUCAAGCUGUAGUGCUUCUGUUCUGUUGACCCUGACCUUGUUGUUGUUUACAAACAACAUUCUGAACAUAUUUUGAGCUAUUUAUACUCUAUGCCACUUUCCCUCUAAUGUGGAACAUUAAACACAGAUAGGAAGUUGUGACUAAUGACUUGUGAUGACAGUGGGAUGAUAGGAUCAUUGCAUAAGGUUAACAAGUGGUUUGUCAGUGCAUAAUUUGUAUUACCAGUGCCAUCAAAAUGGUGCCCUGUAGGCAUAGGAAGCUAGUAAAAAACAUUGACAUGCAGUGAUAUAUGAUAGGCGAUCUGAAUCUGAGCCAAACGCAUUUAGAUACAACUCAUGAUCACCGUUUGUUGUGGGGUUGUUUUUCCAAUUACAAUAUUGAAUAAUUUUUUAAAACAUGACCACAGGGGUUCUAUUGCAUUCUCUAUUGUAUCUGGCUGCAGUUAUGUUUUUAUGUUGUGUAAAAAAUAUAAAAAAACACUGUCCGGGUCUGUUUUCAACGUGAAGGGGACCUGGCUCACAGGUUGACGUUUAUUGUAAUGAAUCAUUAUGCUAGAUGAGCCAGCUGCAAAGUCAAAUAUAUUGUAAAAAGUAAUGAAAGAAAAACUUGCAAUUUGGUCUUAAAUUAAAGUUUUCUUUUCUACAAGCAAAUCUUUAUUUUUUAUGUAAAUGAAAUGUUAUAGAACGGUCCAGACACCGUUUUAGUGAUUUCAAUUGAUUUUGAGAAACAAAAAUCACCACCUCAUUGUUGUGUAGUAUGAGGGUCCUGAAAUAACAUGAACCAAGGCUCCAAAAAGACCCAAAUACGGCCUGUUAGAAACUAGAAAAAUUUCAGUGUAGUGAUACAGGUCUUUAGAUGUUCUACACAUGACAUGUCAUUCCGCAUUAUAUUUUAUUUUGUUGUGACUCCAGCCGUUGCCCCUAUCCUGCUGUUCCAUUAUCUUGUAGACUGAGGAUCUCAAGUCUGUGAGGGUGCGCAGCUGAACACUAUACUGGAAACACUCCGUUUGAAAUUUUUGACCUAAACAUAACCAAUAUUUGUUCAUUAUAAAUACCAAACUUGUUUUUAUGUGGAUUCCACGACGCGGUUAGCUUUUAACAGUUAGAACUGGUAUUUCUUGUCCCGGAAUCCCGCUUAAGACCGGUUGAAGCCUGCUUGACAGAGCCGCUAAACUGAUAGCCAUCAAGCCGACAAAAUUAGUCCCAGAAGAGUUUUGCAAUGGAGCCCUCAUUGUCUGGAGAAAUAAAUGAACGGUUCCAGCACUGUAGAAGCUGUAUCUACUACGCUUUGUUUCGAGACAAACUGGAUCACUCAGAGUUCCAAUACGGCAGUUGUUUGCUUGCCGAGGAUUAUAGACUUGAGGUGGCUUCCUUGAUCACACAGGUUGCCAGCCUACUUAAGAAACCGGAAAAGGCAGAGUGGAAUGUUUACCUUUUCAAUGCCGGUGUCUGGACGGCGUUCGCACUUGUUGGAUGCAUCUCUGCCUUGUCGUUAUCCAUUUGGCCAGUGUUGCCCGGAGCUCCCCCAUCUGAUAGCGGAGUCGAAGGAGCACAGCAAGAGGAGCAAGGCAAUCAAUGUUGGUCGCAUGUCAUGAGCCGGAGAAGCCGAAGCCAACUCAUUGUGACGUUGAGAUAUCCUAAUGCUUCAGCAAAUGUACACGAUACCAGGGGCUUUGGUAGACACAUGUAAGUAACCCAAUUGUAUGUCCCUCUAACUGCCCUGAAUGCCUCUGCUGAUCCUACAGCUAUUGCAUGCAGUAGUCAUGUGCCUAUGAACCAGAGUUAUGCUGUUAGCACUGAGGCAGUGUGCCCUAGUAAGAAAGUCCAUUGUGUGCAGGUCACCCUGCACUAACACAAAUCACAUGAGGAUAUCUACUUCUGCUAAGCUUCCUAGUAAAACAAUGAAAACAAGUAAGCAUCCCAGAAGAAAAGUGCUCAAAAUAGCCCGUGUUAACAUAUGUAGCCUAAUCAAUAAUUUGCUAAUAACAGAUGCCAUUCAUAUUCUGACUAUCUCUGAAACUCACUUAGGUAAUAGCUUUGAUACAGUGGUAGUAAUACAAGGUUUUAAAUGACUGAAAAGCCAAUGGUGGAGGUGUUGCUGUUUAUAUUCAGAACCACAUGUCUAUAAAGCUUAGAGGAUCUCAUGUUAAAUACUGUAGAAGUAAUCUGGCUACAGGUUCAUCUACCUCACCUAAAGCCCAUUCUUGUGGGAAGCUGCUAUAGACCACCAAGUGCUAACAGUCAGUAUCUGGAUAGCAUGUGUGCAAUGCUUGAUUAUGUAUGUGAUAUCAACAGAGGUAUAUUUUCUAGAUGAUUUCAAUAGACUGGCUUUCAUCAAGCUGCCUACUCAAGAAAAAGCUUAAAACUGUAACCAGUGCCUGAAACCUGGCUCAGGUUAUCAGUCAACCUACCAGGGUAGUUACAAACAGCACAGGAAUGAAAUCAUCAACAUGUAUUGAUCACAUCUUUAUUAAUGCUGCAGAAAUUAGCUUGAAAGCAGUAUCCAGAUCCAUCAGAUGUAGUGAUCACAAUAUAGUAGCCAUAUCUAGGAAAACCAAAGUUCCAAAGACUGGGCCUAAUAUAGUGUGUAAGAAGUCAUACAAUAAGUUUGUAGUGAUUCCUAUGUUGUUGAUGUAAAGAAUAUUUGUUAGUCUGUGGUAUGUAAUGAAGAGCAAACAGACGCUGCACUUUUAUGAAAUUGCUUAUUCCAUUUACUAAUAAGCAUGCACCCAUUAAGAAAAUGGCUGUAAAAAUGAUUAAAUCCCUGUGGAUUUAUGAGGAAUUAAAACAUUGUAUGGCUGACGGGGAUGAGGCAAAAGAAAUGGCAAAUAAGUCUGGCUGCACAUCCGAUGGAAGCUUCUCCAACAUAAUCCAGGUAAAGUCAGGAAUUCCCCAGGGCAGCUGUCUAGGCACCUUACUUUUUUCAAUCUUUACUAACACAUGCCACUGGCUUUGAGUAAAACCAGCGUGUCUGUAUGCGGAUUACUCAACACUAUACAGUGGUUCGUCCUUUAAAAGUUGCAGCGUACAGCAUUGCAGCUUGCAUGGUGCUGCAGAAUUCUAUGGCACGUUAUUUAAGUGUGAACCACUUGUACUAUUAAUGCUAUUUAGUGCUAGUUUGACCACCAGAGGGCAUCUUUGAGAAGCAUUUGAUAGCCUUCAAUAGUGGCUGUACUAGAGAAUGCAGGCAUCUGGGAGACCAGGGUUCAAUUCCCCUACGGGGAGGAAGGAGUAGGCUGUCCUUGAAAAUAAGAAUUUGGGUUUCCGUUCGGAUGGAACAUUAAAAUAUGGAGCUGUACAACGUGACAGUCGGGAGUAAAGUACUGGGUUAUUUAGCUAAGGAAUCCCCGUGUCGUGCGGACACGCAGGAGACCGGGUUUCAAUUCCCGAUGGGGAGGAAGGAGUAGGCUGUCCUUGUAAAUAAGAAUUUGUUCUUAAUUGACUUGCCUAGUUAAUAAAUAAAGUUUACACUAAGAGCAUAACAUUUGCACAUCCUAAUUUUCUAAUUCUAGUCUAACCAAUACCUAAACAGAGAUUCAGUGAAAAUAAAAAAUCUCAUUGACUUAUCAAGACCAGUCCCCAUGCUUGUCUCAGAGCAGCGCGAAAUGGUGCUAAAAUAGUUGUAGGCUAUUGCUUCAAAUCCUAUUGCUUCUAACUUCAAUAUGCUCUUUAAAUAAACAAGACCUACACCACUUUUAACAGCACAUUACUCAACACUAGUGAGACUCAUGUUGCCUACGGUAGGCCGACAGUUUAUCGAAAAAUAUAUAAUACAAUAACUUAAAGCAUUGUAUUUGGGGUAAAUCAUUCACUAAACUGUAUUCAUCACUACAUGUAUUUAUGAGAGGUAUAGACAUGUUGAAUGCACCGAGCUGUCUGUUUGAACAACUGGCGCACAGCUCGGACGCCCAUGCAUACCCCUCAAGUCCAGAACAGACUGAGGGAGGCGCACAGUACUACAUAGAGCCAUGACUACAUGGAACUUGAUUCCACAUCAAGUAACUGAUGCAAGCAGUAAAAUUAGAUUUAAAAAACCAAUAACAAUACACCUUAUGGAACAACGGGGACUGUGAAGCAACACAAACAUAUACACACCUGAUAACAUACGCACUAUAUACAUAGUAUUGUAGAUAUGUGGUAGUGGUGAAGUAGGGGCCUGAGGGCAUACAUUGUGUUGUGAAUGUAUUGUAAUGUUUUUAAAGUUGUAUGGCUGCCUUUCAUUUUGCUGGAUCCCAGUAAGAGUAGCUGCUGCCUUGGCAGCAGAUAAUGGGGAUCCAUAAUAAAUACAAAUAUGAAGGCUGUCAAUGGGUUAUUUCUUCCCAUUUAAAACACAUUCAUAUUGUCAAAUCGAAAUACAGCACAAUCAGGCCCCUUUGUACACUGCAGGCUGUCUUUGUGAGUAGUGCAUUCCUGGGGGAGGAGAGUGAGAGAGAGACUCACUGCAGCAGGCUGGUAGUUCCUUUCAGAGUAAUCAGGCAGAACACGUUACCAGUUGGAAUACACUGUGUGUGUGUGUGUGUUUGCUCUGUGACUCAGGCCCUGUCACUUCAUUUCUAAAUCCCCUUGCCUUCCCAGAACGUGUAAUCACCCUCCAAAAACCAGUUGUUAGGCAAUUACCCUUCCAAAAUCUCCUAUGUGUUCCUCCUGAAAUCAUAUUGAAUUACUACUUGAUGUAGACAGCACCAAUUAAAGGCCUUUGAUGCUGUGGUAGGAAGGAAAGUGGCAUGCAGGCACCUAACACCUUCUUGGCGACAUUGUAUCUUUUCACAUCAUAAAUACUAGGAUACUUUUGGUUUAGAAAGACAUCCUGGUUCUCUCUCUCCCUCUAUUAGAAAUGAUCACAAGGUGACUGUCGAUGACCUUGCGUUGCAUUCCAAUCAAUAAAAAGAUCUGAUGAAAUUCGGGCUGCACCUAAAUUGAUCCCUAACACUGCAAAUUCAAUAACAACAAGUAUCAAAUAGCUGGAGUGGUGACUAUCACAGUACCUCUUUCCUCUGAAGAGUGUGUAUUCCAUAUGGGAGCUCCGGGUCAGAUUUUAAUUCAAGAUUGGCAGAGCAGCAGGCUUCUGGUGCAUCUGGAAAAUUCAGAGGGAUCUAACAGUACUUCGACAUUCCAUUGAAACCUCUGAGAUAUUGUUUGAACAAUUUCUUUCCCCAGGUUCUUUUGAAGUUAUUUGAAUUUGAGGUGUGUGAAUAAAAACAUAACCACCAGCCAUUCCUUUGGUGUAGUGGUGUGGUAAUCUCUUGCCCCUGGAGAGAGAUUUCCUUUUUCUCUCCUUACCUUCCGACAUCCUCUACCUACACAGUAUCUCACAGCGGUGUCAGUCGGUGGCUCUGAUGUAGCCUUUUGAACCUCUUCUCUUUUCAUGAUGCUGUGUUCUUCAUUGGGUAUACUACCAUUUUGUUUUUUAUUGUAUAAUGCCCAACUAACGUUAGUGAGAAUUUAUCGCCAUCCAUCGGCCCUCCUCGUUGUUCAUAGCAAAUUGUUUGACUUGCUGUCUAACUAUGCUAAAUGCUAAAUCUGAAUUAUUAAUAUUAACCUGGAUUGGUUGAUGCCAGUAUCAUAGACUGAAAUAUAUUUGUACUGAGCUAAAUUUAACUCAACUGAUAUCUAAACCAACUUGAAAUACCCUGAAAAACCUACUCUUUUGUAUAUCAUUCUGACAAACACCCCUCAUAAGUAUACAGCCAAUGGAAUCUUUGCUAACGAGCUGUGACGAUUGUCCCAUUGUCUACAUUAGAGAUCCUAAGCUACCAAAAUCUUACCUGCGCAUUAUUUCAAAGAUAUUUUUUUUUUAAAGGACAGGUCUAACCCAUGGUUUACGCAUGAAUUGUCUGAAAGAUUUCAUGAAAGAAACUUUGCUUGGGCUAAAGCUAGAUUUGCUGAUUCUACCUCUGACUGGCAGUCCUUCAGACAUUUGAGAAAUACGUGUCUUACUCUGGUUAGAAAAGCAAAAUUAACAUACUUCUUGAAUUUUGUAUCUAAGAGUGGUGGAAAUCUAUCUAUAUUCUGGACAAAUAUUUGGAGAAAAAAAACCUCAAUCCCCUCAUUGCCCCAGCAGGUUAUGACAGGCUCCGGUCCCAUAACAGACAACAAAAAUACAUUUGUGGUGCUUUUAAUAACCGUUUUGCCUCAGCUGGCCAUCUAUUUGAAAGACUGGUCUCUGGAAAUACGUCAAGUUCCACUAGAGGGUGUCCUUUAUUCACCUCUAAACAAAUAGCAGAGAAUGAUGCACUUCCAUGCACGUAGACUUUUUUCUUCUUCAUUUGAACCAUUUUGUGUCAAUGAUGUAAGUGCCUUGCAAAAUAUUGAUGUAAAGAAAUCUACAGUAGCUGAUUCGCUUGAUCCAUUUCUACCCCCAUCAUUGUAGAACCUUUGAUUCACAUUUUUUAUUUAACAAUUGCUUCUGGUGCUGUCCCUAAAAUCUGAACGGCGGUGCACGUCCACCUCCUUUACAAAGGUGGGGAUCCUUCUGACCUAGAUAACUACUGCCCAAUUGAUAAACUAUCUUGCCAUGCAAAAGUAUUAGAAUCACUGGCAAACUCUCAGCUAAGAACUUUUUUUAACUUCACAUUAUGUUCUUCAAGGGAUACUUCAGGAUUUUGGCAAUGAGGCCCUUUAUCUACUUCCCCAGAGUCUUAUGAACUUGUGGAUGCCAUUUCUAUUUCUCUCUGUCCAGUAUGAAGGAAGUAAGAUGGAGCUUUGCGAGCCAAUAUUAACUAGCAAUUAGUGCAAUGACGAAGUCUAUGGGUAUCUGCUAGCAUGAUGACUCUGGGCAAUUAGAUAAAGAACCUCAUUUCCAAAAUCCCGACGUUGUCACAUUCUGACCUUAGUUCUUUUGUUAUGUCUUUGUUUUAGUAUGGUCAGGGCGUGAAUUGGGUGGGUUGUCUAUGUUCCUUUUUCUAUGUUUUGGGAUUUCUGUGUUUGACCUGGUAUGGUUUUCAAUCAGAGGCAGCUGUCAAUCGUUGUCCCUGAUUGAGAACCAUACUUAGGUUUGCCUGGUUUCACUUUUGAGUUGUGGGUGAUUAUUUUCCGUGUCAGUGUUUUGUUCCACACGGAACUGUUUCCGUUUUGUUUUUUCACAUUGUCGUUUAUUGUUUUGUUCAGUGUUCAUUAUUCUUAUUAAAAUCCAAGAUGAACAC